rnacentral:rRNA from 1 species
AGCGAACGCUGGCGGCAGGCUUAACACAUGCAAGUCGAGCGGAACUUUCGGGAGCGGCGGCUGACGGGUGAGUAACGCGGGGGAACGGUGCUUCCGGUUCGGGAUAACCCUGUGACACUAGGGCUAAUGCCGGAUACGCCCCGAUGAGGAAAGGUUUAAUCACCGAGGAGAGGCCGGCGUUUUAUUAGCUAGGUGGUGGGGUAACGGCCUACCAAGGCGACGAUCAUUAGCUGGUCUGAGAGGCUGAUCAGCCACACUGGGACUGAGACACGGCCCAGACUCCUACGGGAGGCAGCCGUGGGGAAUAUUGGACAACGGGCGCAAGCCUGAUCGAGCCAUGCCGCGUGAGUGAUGAAGGCCUUAGGGUUGUACAGCUCUUUUAUACGGGACGAUACUGACGGUACCGGAGGAAUAAGCCCCGGCUAACUUCGUG